UACGUAGGGCGCAAGCGUUGUCCGGAAUUAUUGGGCGUAAAGAGCUCGUAGGCGGUCUGUUGCGUCCGCUGUGAAAACUCGGGACUUAACCCCGAGCCUGCAGUGGAUACGGGCAGACUAGAGGUAGGUAGGGGAGAAUGGAAUUCCCGGUGUAGCGGUGAAAUGCUUAGAUAUGUCAUAGAACACCGAUUGCGAAGGCAGCUCACAAAGCCACUAUUGACGCUGAGGCACGAAAGCGUGGGGAUCAAACAGG
rnacentral:rRNA from 1 species